UACGAAGGGGGCUAGCGUUGCUCGGAAUUACUGGGCGUAAAGGGCGCGUAGGCGGGUCGUUAAGUAGGGGGUGCAAAGCCCAGGGCUCAACCCUGGAAUUGCCUUCUAAACUGGCGACCUUGAGUAUGGCAGAGGUGUGUGGAACUCCGAGUGUAGAGGUGAAAUUCGUAGAUAUUCGGGAAGAACACCAGUGGCGAAGGCGACACACUGGGCCAUUACUGACGCUG
rnacentral:rRNA from 1 species